rnacentral:rRNA from 1 species
AUGAACGCUGGCGGCGUGCUUAACACAUGCCAGUCGAACGGGAAACCUUUUAAUGAAGCUUCGGCAGAUUUAGCUGGUUUCUAGUGGCGGACGGGUGAGUAACGCGUGGGUAACCUGCCUUAUACAGGGGGAUAACAGUCAGAAAUGACUGCUAAUACCGCAUAAGCGCACAGGACCGCAUGGUCCGGUGUGAAAAACUCCGGUGGUAUAAGAUGGACCCGCGUUGGAUUAGCUUGUUGGUGGGGUAACGGCUCACCAAGGCGACGAUCCAUAGCCGGCCUGAGAGGGUGAACGGCCACAUUGGGACUGAGACACGGCCCAGACUCCUACGGGAGGCAGCAGUGGGGAAUAUUGCACAAUGGGGGAAACCCUGAUGCAGCGACGCCGCGUGAAGGAAGAAGUAUCUCGGUAUGUAAACUUCUAUCAGCAGGGAAGAUAGUGACGGUACCUGACUAAGAAGCCCCGGCUAACUACGUG